UACCGGCUCCAUGCUCACCACAAUCCUCCAACCUCUACAUAACUGAACAUCAUCUCUACAAUUCGCAUCCUCUUGGUAGAAUAUUUAAACUCGGUAUGUGGAGAUUCAUUCUUACCUUCUGCCUUUGAUUGCAUCUUCGUGACACCAAAGCCCGCCAGCCAGGCCAACUGACAUUUCCUGGGUAAAAACCCCCUUCCAUCGUCGCCUGGCCGAUUCCAAAUAUCCUUCAACUGGUAAAUUCUCAUCAUUGUGAAGGUUUGGAUUGUUCUGACUCCUUCAGUUCUCUCGAACUCCACGUGGGAAACUGUCGCUGGGCUCCUAGCUCCGCCCAUCCCGCCGUGACAGCAGCGCCAGCGGGAAAAUUGAACAUUCUCAACAUCUCAUUCCUGCUCCAGCUCCGAGGCCUGACACCCAAACACCCGCUCGACGUGUCUCUUCUCGGCGUCUAUUCCGUUUUUGAAGCAAAGUCCAAGAAAUCCGAGUUUUUUCAGCUCCUGCUACUUGCCGCCCAACUUCCGGGUUUCGGGCCGUAGUCUCCGCACACCAGAGUGACGUCACAUCAGAUGCCUCGGAAAAUCCUGACUCCUGUUGUUCCAGCGCCCUCUGCUGGUGGGGACCUCUACCUCCAGCCGCAGCCGGAUACUGAGUAUUGUGACCAUCAGUGUAUGUGAAUCCCUCUGUGCACAGCAUUACUCAAAAACGGACAAACGGAUUUUGAUGAAAUUUUCAGGAAUCUUCCCUGGCAACCAGCUAUUUUCACACCACACAAAAGGGCAUCAAGUGGCAAAACUCAAGUCACACAUUCAGGUCUGAGGAGCUGGAGCUGGAAAAUGUAAACAGCUGGUGCCACAACUUCAACGGGGAUCGAAAGUGAGAAGCAGAGGAAGCAGCAAACAAGAGCGAAGACUGACACCAGUGUGGAAGGUGAAGGUGGGAUUUUUUUGUAAUUAGCCGCUUUUUAACUACAUUGAAGUUCCCAGUUUCAUACAAAGCAAUCAGCUCCUUGUGCAAACACUAGAAAUUGAGGUAACCUUUCAAAAAUGACAAGUUAAUAAUAUCAUUCCUAGGAAGAAAAUUGUUCUAGCUUCCACUGAAAAUACAGUUUACAGCUGUAAUAGAUUAUUUUUUAAGUACAUUUUGUGCCAAAAUGCACUUCACCAUAACUGAGGUGUGAGGCUCUGUUUCGGCCAGGUGAGAAAAACUCUGCAGUGUGAGAAACAAUAAUACGGGGGCUUUUUUAGAGCGUGAAACUUGUUUCAGUGCUGUCUUUUUUCCACAGUCUAUGCAUGGUCAAAUUUAUGCAAAAUAAUUUA